GACGAACGCUGGCGGCGUGCUUAACACAUGCAAGUCGAACGGAAAGGCCCUGCUUUUGUGGGGUGCUCGAGUGGCGAACGGGUGAGUAACACGUGAGUAACCUGCCCUUGACUUUGGGAUAACUUCAGGAAACUGGGGCUAAUACCGGAUAGGAGCUCCUGCUGCAUGGUGGGGGUUGGAAAGUUUCGGCGGUUGGGGAUGGACUCGCGGCUUAUCAGCUUGUUUGUGGGGUAGUGGCUUACCAAGGUUUUGACGGGUAGGCGGCCUUGGAGGGUGACCGGCGACAAUGGGACUGAGAUACGGCCCAGACUCCUACGGGAGGCAGCAGUGGGGAAUAUUGCACAAUGGGCGGAAGCCUGAUGCAGAAACGCCGCGUGCGGGAUGACGGCCUUCGGGUUGUAAACCGCUUUCGCCUGUGACGAAGCGUGAGUGACGGUAAUGGGUAAAGAAGCACCGGCUAACUACGUG
rnacentral:rRNA from 1 species